rnacentral:rRNA from 1 species
AUAAGCCUGGGAAACUGGGUCUAAUACCGAAUAUGACCACGCACUUCCUGGUGUGUGGUGGAAAGCUUUUGCGGUGUGGGAUGGGCCCGCGGCCUAUCAGCUUGUUGGUGGGGUAAUGGCCUACCAAGGCGACGACGGGUAGCCGGCCUGAGAGGGUGACCGGCCACACUGGGACUGAGAUACGGCCCAGACUCCUACGGGAGGCAGCAGUGGGGAAUAUUGCACAAUGGGCGCAAGCCUGAUGCACCGACGCCGCGUGAGGGAUGACGGCCUUCGGGUUGUAAACCUCUUUCAAUACGGACGAAGCGCAAGUGACGGUACCUAUAGAAGAAGGACCGGCCAACUACGUGCCAGCAGCCGCGGUAAUAC